rnacentral:rRNA from 1 species
GGUUAGUCGGUGGCAGAUGGCGGGGUAGUGCGAGUGGGGCGAGGGUGUGUCGGAGUUACUGGGCGGAAAGCGCGCGCGGGCGGCAGACCAAGUCGGGCGUGAAAGCCCCUGGCUUAACCUGGGAACUGCGUCUGGGACCGGUUUGCUAGAUAUCGGGAGAGGAGAGUGGAAUUCCCAGUGUAGAGGUGAAAUUCGUAGAUAUUGGGAAGAACACCGGUGGCGAAGGCGGCUCUCUGGACCGAGACUGACGCUGAGGCGCGAAAGCGUGGGGAGCAAACAGGAUUAGAUACCCUUGUAGUC